UGGGGAGCUGGUUGAAUAUUUUUUUUUUUUUUGACAGACAGAGCGACGGCCGAAACGGAUUCACUGUUAAAGCCAAAGACAUGACACACUAUGGGAACCCUCCGUCGUGGUUGUCACGGUGCCAAAAAAACAUUGGAAUGCGGGACAUUUCCUUUCCUAAUGGUCCCAGCUAAGAAUAACACAUAAGAGACGAACAUGAAAAGAUGCACAAUGUCGUUCCCUCCCUAUUAUUUAUUGCUUCUUGGACGCUCAACAAUGACCUCAGAACUCUUUGUCCCUGUCGUUCGGUAGCUAUAAAUGGUUGGACCUUAAAAAUAAGACCAUAAGUAUCUUCAUUAAAUAAACAUAUAAACAAAGUUCAUGAAUAAAUCGAACAGUGUAAAUAGGUAUUGUUAAUGUUUGUUGAGAAAAAGUGGGUAUUUAAGGGUGUGAAUAGAUUAAGUAUAUCCUAGAGCUGGACUGAUUCCCUUUAAGAUACCUGGUUAGCACAACAUUGAAAAAACAUAUUUUGUGAUUAACAAAUAUAUGCACAUUCCAUUUCAUCCCAAAUUGUUACAAUCUCAAAUAUAUGAUCAAGUCUCCAUGCCUAAAAUUUAAGUAAUAUGACAUUCAGUUCCCAAAGACAUUCAGUGACAUUCUGUUCCCAUUUGUUUAAGUAUAUUUGCAAUAUCUAGUCCAAAUUGUCAAGAGGUUAGAAGGGAGGUGAUAAUGUCGAUCCAUCAUAUCCUAUGACUACACAUAUAAACAUCUUUGUUCACAGACCCUGAAGAAUCAGUUAAUGCAUGUUUAAUAUUUAAUUGUGAGUUUGUUAUUUAUGAGUCUUUUUUAUGUUUGCAUUCAGAACUUGAGACCAAUUGGAAGUAUUUGUUAUUGUAUUCAAAGAUUUAGAUUUAACGAAAAUUAGUUACUUAAAAAAUUACUUGAAUUAUACAUUUAAACCAAAGUAAUUUGAAUACUGAAAACAAAUGAUGACAUUAUCAAAUUUGCUCUAUUUUUUUUUAUUUCUUAGUAUUUUUUUUAACAGACUAAAUAUGAUUGUGGUGCUAAAUUGUGUCUGGAAAUCAGAGGGCAUCACUGCAAGUGAAUUUGAAACCAGAUGUUUCAAACAUUACUUUGCUCCCGAAUGUGAAUGAUAUUGAUUUAGAAGCAGAUUUAGGCAGUUGAUUUAGAAAAAUACAACAAUCAAAAGUCUAGAUCUUUGGAUUCUGUGUCACUUGAAGGGCAAUUUUAAAAUUAUAAUUCACUCUAUCCUCUCUGAAGACAAUCUCAGCUUGACUUCUUAUAAUCAGAUGGUUGUAUUGGUUCCUGUUUUGUUGCUUUUGAGCCGUUUCUUCUUUUAUGGUAUACAUUGCAUUUCUAGUUAAUUUGGUUUUUUUAUGCAAAAGAUUGACUAUUGUAUCCUGUUGUUAUUAUUAUGACUGUUAUUUGGUAUUGUCUGUUUGUUUCUGCACUGAUAUCUUAAUAAAGCAUACUGCUCUUUCCAUCUGAUCAGCCGUUUUUGAUGUUGUUAUAAAAAAAGGCAUAAAUUAUACAUUUGUUUUAAUCUCCAACCAGAUUACCGCCACAUUUUGUAGAGAGCUGUUGGUUAUCAGCUCUCCAGACCCCGGAUCAAGUCAGCCGAGGUGCCAAAUGUUACAACCCCUUGUCCCCUGACUGGGUUCCAUCCAUCUUCUCACACAUUCCAGCCACCAAGAAGAGGAAAAGGGAGAAAGACAUGGAAAGGUAUGAGCAGCACAGCAGAAUGAAGAACAAGAGGGUGGAGGAGAAAAAGAAGAAAGAUGCAGUGGAUGUCCUCCUUGACCUAUCAUCAGUACCAGAUGCUGGAAAUGCGCCACUUUCUGUGGAUGAACAACAGUGUGACAACAAGCCAUGCAAGGAAAAGAUUGCAAGAUUACAAAGCGAGUGUAAUGAGUGUAAACCGUAAGCUGAAAGACAUUAUUAAAUCAGGAACAUUGAUGAACUGGCUUUUGAAAAAGAUGAUGAAAAAGUGAAGGCAAUGACUGGAAUCCCCACAUAUUCAAAGUUACAAGUAGUUUCAACAUUUGUGUUAUCAUUUCUGCAGACUGGUACAAACCUCUCUCCCUUCCAACAACUUCUGUUAACUUUUAUGAGGCUGAAAAUGAACCUUCCCCUGUCAUUGCCUGGUUGUAUGUUUAAGAUCUCAAUUCCAACUGCCAGAAGAACAUUUAGAAGCACCAUUGAAGUGCUGAAUGCCAGGCUUGCUCCAGCACUUUUGUUUUGGCCAAAUCGAGUGGAGCUUCAGUUGUCAAUGCCUAUGAUAUUUAGACAGGUUUUUCAUAAAUGUGUUUGUAUUA